rnacentral:rRNA from 1 species
AGAGUUUGAUCCUGGCUCAGGACGAACGCUGGCGGCGUGCUUAACACAUGCAAGUCGAGCGAGCCUUCGGGCGAGCGGCGAACGGGUGAGUAACACGUGGGCAACCUGCCCCAAGCUCUGGGAUAACCCCGGGAAACCGGGGCUAAUACCGGAUAUGACCUUUGAAGACAUCUUCUUUGGUGGAAAGUUUUUCGGCUUGGGAUGGGCCCGCGGCCUAUCAGCUUGUUGGUGGGGUAACGGCCUACCAAGGCGACGACGGGUAGCCGGCCUGAGAGGGCGACCGGCCACACUGGGACUGAGACACGGCCCAGACUCCUACGGGAGGCAGCAGUGGGGAAUAUUGCGCAAUGGGCGAAAGCCUGACGCAGCGACGCCGCGUGAGGGAUGAAGGCCUUCGGGUUGUAAACCUCUUUCAGCAGGGACGAAGCGAAAGUGACGGUACCUGCAGAAGAAGCACCGGCCAACUACGUGCCAGCAGCCGCGGUAAUACGUAGGGUGCAAGCGUUGUCCGGAAUUAUUGGGCGUAAAGAGCUCGUAGGCGGUCUGUCGCGUCGGCUGUGAAAUCUCAGGGCUCAACCCUGAGCCUGCAGUCGAUACGGGCAGACUAGAGUCCGGCAGGGGAGACUGGAAUUCCUGGUGUAGCGGUGAAAUGCGCAGAUAUCAGGAGGAACACCGGUGGCGAAGGCGGGUCUCUAGGCCGGAACUGACGCUGAGGAGCGAAAGCGUGGGGAGCGAACAGGAUUAGAUACCCUGGUAGUCCACGCCGUAAACGUUGGGCGCUAGGUGUGGGGAACCUUCCACGUUCUCCGUGCCGCAGCUAACGCAUUAAGCGCCCCGCCUGGGGAGUACGGCCGCAAGGCUAAAACUCAAAGGAAUUGACGG